rnacentral:tRNA from 1 species
AAAUAGGAAGCGAAUAUUGCAACCAGUUUCGACCUGGAAUACUAGAUGUAAAAAACAUCCCUAUUUA